UAACCGCUCUUUUGUUUGAACAUCCACGACUUCGAACCGCUCUUGGUUUUCCUCAUGUACGGUAGAGCUCUAAGCCAAUACUGUAAUGUCAAUUCUGUAAUGCAACCAAUGUUGCACACUUAUGAGGGGCAGUUUUUAGUAUGUGACCAAAAUUGGGUAUCUCCGGUUUAGCCCAAUCGGACUUUUGGUUGUUUCUUUUUUGCGCUGUCAAAAUAGCCAAUCCGAAAUGUUUUGAUUUAAACCAUUGAUUGGAGUCAAAACCAAAACGUGAUACGUAUAUAAGAAAAAACGUGUCCAUUCCAAUUUCCACCGAAA